rnacentral:rRNA from 1 species
UACGUAGGGGGCAAGCGUUGUCCGGAAUCAUUGGGCGUAAAGCGCGUGUAGGCGGCCCGGUAAGUCCGCUGUGAAAGUCCAGGGCUCAACCCUGGGAUGCCGGUGGAUACUGUCGGGCUCGAGUCCGGAAGAGGCGAGUGGAAUUCCUGGUGUAGCGGUGAAAUGCGCAGAUAUCAGGAGGAACACCAAUGGCGAAGGCAGCUCGCUGGGACGUGACUGACGCUGAGACGCGAAAGCGUGGGUAGCAAACAGG